AUCCACGGCCAUACCAUCCUGAACAAGCUCGAUCCCGUUUGAUCUCAGAAGCUAAGCAGCGUUGGGCCUGGUUAGGAUUUGGAUGGGAGACCACCUAGGAAGACCAGGUGCUGUAGGCG
rnacentral:rRNA from 1 species